UGGGCGGGAAGCCGCUGCUGAGGUCCUGAGACCGCGCAAGUUUGGGCUUCUGAAGGGCGGCGGGCAUUAAAUUCCACUUCCUGCGCACUGACAAGUGCUUUAUUGGCUAAUUUUCCUAACAGAGCGUUGUAAACCAAGGCCGGGGUGUCCCCCUGAGUGGUCUGGCUGGGGCCCGUGCGGCCUCGACCCCCUCUGGUCGGCGCUAGCCCUGCCCCCGCCCUAGCCUCCCUCAGCUUCGCAAGGCGAACUCCUCAGGCUGGGCCAGGGCCUGGGCUCCGAGGGAAGGGGGCCGCCUUCCCCUGCCCUGUGCAGUCCAGGAUCUGGGGUUCGUUCACAGGGCGCUUGGAUGGGGUCGCGUUAAGUGCCGUGAUUGCGAGGCUGCCUGUGUCCCCCGCAGCACUUGGCUCUGAGAGAUGCUGGCCCGGCCUUUGGCCUCCUGCCCAGGCAACCUCCCGGCCUGGCUACGCCGCCCGCCGACAGACACGAGGAAUCCAGCCCUUAUUGGCCUCCCACAGAGAUGGGACUGCCAAGGCAUUGCUCAGCUGGCCAGUAAGAGGAUCUGAACCCUUGACCUUGGUGUUAUCAGUACCAUACUCUCCCAAGAAAGCUAACUGGUCACCUGCUCUUGUUCAGUUUCUGACAAAAGAGAUCUUUCAGGGCCAACAGUCACUCUGGAAAAAGUGAAGCCACCUCUCUGCCUUGGAUGACAGAGCCUUAGCAACCACAGUAAUUCAUGCUGGAGUAGAGACCUUUGAGUGCCUUGUACCAAGUAUCUGGAAUGAGAUGCUCUGCCUAGCAAGAUAUUCUGCCCUCAGAAACAAGGAAGGGAUUGAUCGGAGGUACAGGCCUGACGGAAGUGGAGUCACUGCAGCUCCAGAGUCAAAUCCUUGGUUUUGACAGUAAUCAUGGACUCACAGAGCCCCCUGAGAUUCUCCAGACUAAGGCUCCUUAACUUUUGUUCGGUAACUGACCCACUUGAGAAUCUGAUGAAAGCACACAAUUUCAGACUCCCUGGAACCCAUCAUAACCCUUCUGGGGCAGUAGUUCCCAGUGAGAAAGACACAGGAAGAUGGCCAUCUGCAAACCAGGACAUGGGCCCUCAACAGAACUGAAUCUUCCGGUGCCUUGAUCUUAGACUUCCCAGCCUCCAGAACCAUAAAAAAUAAAUGUUAAGCCAUUCA